GCCGGCCGGACCCGGCUGCUGAUCCUGACGCGGCGGCUGGGGUGGCGGCAGCGGCGGCGGCGACACGCGCUGGUAGAGCGGCGGCGGAGGGGGCGGCUGCGACGGCGGAGCAGUUUCGCUGGGAGUAAGCGAGAGGUCGCAGCGGAAAAGCCGUGGCCCAACGAGAUUUACGGCGGAGGAGAGAAGCAGGAGCGCGCAUGCGUAAACGGGGCAAAGUACCUCUGCCCCUCGCUUCACGGUUGAUCCCAGGGUUCUGAGCGUAAACCCUAAGUGACGUCAACCUAUGAUUCCCAUGGUAACCCGGAACCGGGGUAGGGGGCGGGGCCGGCGCGCUCCCGUAUUUGUCCUGUUGACGCCACAGGUAGAAAAGGACAUCCUGUUUUCUUUGAAACAAAAAAAAAAAGGUGUGGGGGGGAAAGCUAUAAGAUAGGCUAGUUGAAGGAUUAAAAACAUGUGAGCAGAUGCAACAACAUAUAACCUUGGAUGGAAAACGAUGUAAAGCUGUCAAUUCUAAAAUUAAUUUGCAAUUAUAAUACAGUUCCAUUGGAAUUCUAGCGGGGUAGGAGGUAAUUAAAUCAUCGUGUAACUCAGGAGGUUGAGCCCAGGGAUCUGGACCGCGUUUGGAUAGAUCGAACGAAACACAAGGAGCACCUGAUGCCUUUAUUCACAUUGCAUUCACCCAUGGCAGCGGAUCAUCAACGCAGGACUGCGCCUCUUCCAGUCUGAGGCUUGUUAUAAGGAGUCCCACACAAAAGUGGUGUGCGUUCAAGCUGCAUAAACCUACGUGUGGCCCAAUCAGAUGGCCACUGGCCAGCAGGAAUGUAUAUUGUCCUGGAAACGAAAUGUAGCUCCCUCCUGAUCUCCCCUUGGGAUAGGUUUCAUGUCUGGUGACUGCUUCUUGACCCUUUCCUCCUGCACAUACACUGACAUGGUGUGGCCUUGGGCCGCAAGUAGGUUUAUGCAAUUCGGACCAACAGGCCUACAGGGCUCCCCAUGGGAGAAGAUGGGCCAGCAUCCCAUUAGUAGACCUUCCCCAGUAGCCUGUAGCAGUCACUACUGUAAUAUUCCUGUGUAGGGCUGCCCGCACCCACCCCAUGAGCUGAACAGUCUCAUCUACAGUCCCAUGUCCGUAUCCAGUACAUAUGGGCACAGGCUGUCGUACUUCUACCGGUAAUGCUGACAGCCAUCCCACACCAUUCCAAACCGUGUACUCGAGCCAUGGCAUACAGGUUAGCCUGUUCCCUCAUGAGGGAAAAUACCUUUGAAGGUCUGAUCGAAGAGGGGGUCAGAAGCCUUCCGGCCUUGCAUCUAGUCCCGCCACCAUGGUAGGCCGGCAGAGGCAACAGUGGGAAAUUCAGUGGAGACCCAAUAACCAGAGUGGUUGCUGACGGCUGCUAGCACACCGGCCCACUGUAGAAAGGUGUUUCCAGAGCAGAGUCUGGGGGUGAUAAGAGAGAUGUUUAAUAGGAACUGAUGGAGGUAGCUCUUGGCAGUCUGGCAAUACACAAGCAACAGUCCGGUCUGUGGUUAAUGUUGUUAUGCCCGUUAGUGGACACCCUGGCCUUUGGGACCAUGCUCUACCUGGCUCUAGGCUAAGGGCCUCCUGUACUUGAAGGGCCAAGGGAGGUGUGUGUACUUGCCAAACCAAGGCUAUAGAAGUUCCCUUAGGAACUGAGGUCUGCUGUGGGUUGCAUGAAACAAGGGUAAGGGACCAGGAGGACAUUACCGUAGGUGCUAGCUGUAACCCCAU